rnacentral:rRNA from 1 species
AGGGUUUGAUUAUGGCUCAGGACGAACGCUGGCGGCGUGCUUAACACAUGCAAGUCGAACGGGGCGCUUAUGAUGGAGAUUUCGGUCAACGGAUUAAGUUGCCUAGUGGCGGACGGGUGAGUAACGCGUGAGUAACCUGCCUUUCAGAGGGGGACAACAGUUGGAAACGACUGCUAAUACCGCAUAAUAUAUAUGGACCGCAUGAUCUGUAUAUCAAAGAUUUAUCGCUGAAAGAUGGACUCGCGUCUGAUUAGCUAGUUGGUGAGGUAACGGCCCACCAAGGCGACGAUCAGUAGCCGGACUGAGAGGUUGAACGGCCACAUUGGGACUGAGAUACGGCCCAG